rnacentral:misc_RNA from 1 species
UGUGGGAGCGGGCUUGCCCGCGAAGACGUCGGCCCAGCAAACAUUGAUGUUGACUGACCCACUGCUAUCGCGGGCAAGCCCGCUCCCACA